CACGUGAGGGUGCGAGCGUUGUCCGGAAUUAUUGGGCGUAAAGAGCUCGUAGGCGGCUUGUUGCGUCCAGCUGUGAAAACCCGCAGCUCAACUGUGGGCUUGCAGCUGAUACGGGCAGGCUUGAGUUCGGUAGGGGAGACUGGAAUUCCUGGUGUAGCGGUGAAAUGCGCAGAUAUCAGGAGGAACACCGGUGGCGAAGGCGGCGACCUGGGUAGAUACUGACGCUGAGGUGCGAAAGCGUGGGGAGCAAACAGG
rnacentral:rRNA from 1 species